UGCCUAUUGCUCAAUUUUCCCUAAAGGUUAUGUUUUUACAAAAGAAAUGUCCGUAUUGUUGUGGAUGUCCGAAAAUCUUUUAGAGCCCCAUAAAAGGAAGACAACAGAAGAAGUUGGGGAGGAGUACUUCACUGAUUUGCUAUCAAGGUCGUUGUUUCAGCGUCAUGGAUAUUUGGGUUUUACCAUGCAUGACCUAGUGAAUGAUUUAGCAAAAUUUGUAUGUUGAGACUUCUUUUUGAGGUUGGAUGAGAAUUACUCACAUCUAAAGGCAAGAAAAGCUCGUCAUUUGUCGUACGUGAAAAGGAAUAUCCAUAACGUCGAGAGCUUUGAUGCAUUAUUUGAAAACAAGUAUAUGCGCACGUUCCUACCUUUAGGAGAAUGUUUGUUGGAGUAUAUAAAUUUUGAAAAUCCUGAAGUGUUGCAAACAAUGCAAUAUUUAAGAGUGCUCUCUUUAUCUGAAUACUCUAUUACCAAGUUACCUCAUUCUCUUGGCAACUUAAAGCAUCUAAGGUACUUGGACUUGUCUUCAACUGAUGUUAAAGAGAUACCUUAUAGUGUCUGUACUUUGUACAAUUUGCAGACACUAUUGUUAGAAUCGUUUAGAAAUCUUACUGAAUUGCCCGAUUCAAUUGGAAAUUUGAAGCAUUUAAGGUACUUGGACUUAUCAUGGACUCAUAUUAAGAAGAUACCUGAUGCAAUAUGUAGUUUAUACAAUUUGCAUACAUUAUUGCUGUCCUUUUGUGCAUACAUUACUUGGUUACCUGCCAAUGUGGUAAACCUAAGCAACUUGCAGCAUGUAGAUAUUGAGGGUACAAGUUUGAAAGAAAUGCCAAUGCAAAUGUCCAAGCUGAAAGAUUUGCAAACACUAAGUGAUUUUAUUGUAGGCAAAGAAAGCGGAUGUAAUAUUAAAGAGUUAAAAGACUUGCAGGAUUUACGUGGAAGUUUCUGUAUUUCAAGGCUUCAAAAUGUUGUAAACGUUGAAGAUGUUUCCAAGGCUAGUUUGAAGGAUAAGAAAUAUCUUAAUCAAUUGAGUUUGAAGUGGGAGCAUGAUAAUGAUGAUGCACGAAAACAGAUGGAGGUACCUGACAAGCUUCAACCUCAUACAAAUCUUGAGAAGCUGUAUAAUGAAGAUUAUGGAGGUACGAGUUUCCCAAAUUGGGUAGGGCAUCAUUCAUUUUCUCGUAUAGUAGAAGUGGGGUUAAGUGAUUGUAAAAAUUGUUAUUGGUUACCUACGCUUGGACAGUUACCCUCUCUUACUACUCUUCAUAUUAGAGGAUUUGAUAUGGUGGAGAGAAUAGGUGAUGAAUUUUAUUGUAAUAGUUCUUCUUCCCACACUAAACCAUUCAAGUCUCUAGAAAUUUUAAGCUUUUCAAAUAUGUCACAAUGGAAAGAGUGGUCACAGUUUGAAGGUGAUGAAGAAGAUGGAGUUUUCUCACAUCUAAAAGAGCUUAGUUUUGGAUACUGUCCAAAGCUAAAUGGAGCUUGCUUACCUGAUUAUCUUCCAUCUGUGACCGAUCUUUACAUUUCUGGAUGCCACCACUUGUUGGCUUCACUUGCAAGUGUUUGGUAUUCAUCGCUUGGUUUCUUGAGAAUAUAUGAUUGUCCAGAGCUGGAAUCAAUUCCGAAAUGGGGAUUGCCAUCUAACAUACAUAAGAUUUCAAUUCAUAGAUGCGAAAAGAUGGAGUCAGUUUCGGAAGCAGGAUGGCCCCCAAAUUUAAAAUCGCUUGAAAUUUUCCAAUGUGAAAAACUCUUUGCAAACUGCAUGCAGUGGAAGUUGGAAACACUGACCUCUCUUACAUCGUUAAAAAUCAGUGCGAUAAAUGUAGUGUUGAAAACAUUUCCAGAAGAAGGACAACUUCCAACCACUUUGACUUUUCUUGAGCUAAACUCUCUUCGAAACCUUAAAUCCUUAAAUGGAAAGGCAUUACAACAACUCUCCUCCCUUGAAGAAUUAAGGAUUUAUUGGUGUCAUCAACUCCAGUGCAUGCCAGAAGAAGGACUUCCAAUUUCUCUUUCUCAGUUGGAUAUUAAUCAAUGUGGUUUUCUAAAUCAACGGUGCCAGAGAGAUUUAGGAGAAGAUUGGCCUAAGAUUGCUCAUGUCUCUCGCAUACAAAUAGAUGAUGAAGCCAUAUGAUGCGAAUUAACGAAUUUCCUCUUAAAAUUUUUCAGAAGCUUUUGGAACAUUACGAGGUCUGCAAACACUCAUCUCUGCCACAUUCUUGGAACUUUUAGAUUCAUAUCCAGAGGGAGGGCUAUAAAGAUGAUAGAGAAUUUCCUGUUUCUAUCAGCUGCAAUAGUGCUUACCAGAACAAGAGCUUUGCACUUCUGUUGCUUAUUUGACCAUCUACAGAUCAUGCAUGUCCUUUUGCUAUAAAUCGGUUUGGUAUUUAUAUGAUCAGCAUCAUGAAGAUGUGCUUCUGCUUCUCAUACAAAUGAAUUCUUGUAGAAGAAAGUUGCAACUUGUGCUAAGAACUUUGCCUAUUCUGAUACGGUCAUCCAGGGUAAACCAACAGUAAUAGUUACCUACUCCAGCUGGAAUGGUGAAAAGAUGCAUGCAGACCCGUGAGCUAAUUACUGGUUUCCUCAAGGGCACCCUAACUUUUAAGGUUUUGUUGUUGCUGUUGACAUUACUUGUACGGGCAAAAUAUUGACUUUAGUAUCUAAGUACAGUGGAACUUGGUUUUUCGUUGAAAACUCAGGGUUCUGUUAUCUCAGUUUGGGAGGGCAAUGGCAGGGUUACCAGUCCACCACCGCUUUCAAAGUUUCAAAGCACCCGUACCGUGUCCAAGCAGCAACUCAGUAGUGCCUAACCUUAUAGAAGCAUAUUAUACAUAAGGGGACAAAUUUCUUCUCUAUUGUAGUCGAUGGAAAGGAAACCAGAAGUAGAAUGUACAUAUGUAAUUUAAAAACUCUUUUUAAGUUUGGUUCCAUAUCUGUCAUGCUUUCCUUUUAUUCUCAUAUAGAAUAGAACAUAUAUAUCAAAAUGAUAUAUAGGAAUGAUGUAUGCAUAUUUCAAAAUUGGAUACAAGAGGGGUUUUUUGAAUAUGAUACAAUUAAUCAGGUAUUAAGCAUUGUUCCCUUGUUGAAUUAUAAAUUACAACAUCCUGAUCUAGCUCGUCUAGUAUGAUAUCGUCUAUUUUGGACUAAAUCUGCACAAUUUU